UGGGGAAUAUUGCACAAUGGGCGCAAGCCUGAUGCAGCCAUGCCGCGUGUAUGAAGAAGGCCUUCGGGUUGUAAAGUACUUUCAGCGAGGAGGAAGGCGAUGCGGUUAAUAACCGUGUCGAUUGACGUUACUCGCAGAAGAAGCACCGGCUAACUCCGUGCCAGCAGCCGCGGUAAUACGGAGGGUGCAAGCGUUAAUCGGAAUUACUGGGCGUAAAGCGCACGCAGGCGGUCUGGCAAGUCGGAUGUGAAAUCCCCGGGCUCAACCUGGGAACUGCAUUCGAAACUGGCAGGCUUGAGUCUUGUAGAGGGGGGUAGAAUUCCAGGUGUAGCGGUGAAAUGCGUAGAGAUCUGGAGGAAUACCGGUGGCGAAGGCGGCCCCCUGGACAAAGACUGACGCUCAGGUGCGAAAGCGUGGGGAGCAAACA
rnacentral:rRNA from 1 species